rnacentral:rRNA from 1 species
UGGGGAAUAUUGCACAAUGGGCGCAAGCCUGAUGCAGCCAUGCCGCGUGUAUGAAGAAGGCCUUCGGGUUGUAAAGUACUUUCAGCGAGGAGGAAGGCGUUGUGGUUAAUAACCGCAACGAUUGACGUUACUCGCAGAAGAAGCACCGGCUAACUCCGUGCCAGCAGCCGCGGUAAUACGGAGGGUGCAAGCGUUAAUCGGAAUUACUGGGCGUAAAGCGCACGCAGGCGGUCUGUCAAGUCGGAUGUGAAAUCCCCGGGCUCAACCUGGGAACUGCAUCCGAAACUGGCAGGCUAGAGUCUUGUAGAGGGGGGUAGAAUUCCAGGUGUAGCGGUGAAAUGCGUAGAGAUCUGGAGGAAUACCGGUGGCGAAGGCGGCCCCCUGGACAAAGACUGGCGCUCAGGUGCGAAAGCGUGGGGAGCAAACA